CCUACGGGAGGCAGCAGUGAGGAAUAUUGGUCCAUGGACGAGAGUCUGAACCAGCCAAGUAGCGUGAAGGCUGACUGCCCUAUGGGUUGUAAACUUCUUUUAUAUGGGAAUAAAAUGUUCCACGUGUGGGAUUUUGUAUGUACCAUAUGAAUAAGGAUCGGCUAACUCCGUGCCAGCAGCCGCGGUAAUACGGAGGAUCCGAGAGUUAUCCGGAUUUAUUGGGUUUAAAGGGAGCGUAGGUGGAUGGUUAAGUCAGUGGGGAAAGUUUGCGGCUCAACCGUAAAAGUGCAGUUGAAACUGGCAGUCUUGAGUACAGUAGAGGUGGGCGGAAUUCGUGGUGUAGCGGUGAAAUGCUUAGAUAUCACGAAGAACGCCGAUUGCGAAGGCAGCUCACUGGACUGCAACUGACACUGAGGCUCGAAAGUGUGGGUAUCAAACAGGAGUAGAUACCCCUGUAGUC
rnacentral:rRNA from 1 species